UACGUAGGGGGCAAGCGUUGUCCGGAAUCAUUGGGCGUAAAGAGCGUGUAGGCGGUCCGGUAAGUCGGCUGUGAAAGUCCAGGGCUCAACCCUGGGAUGCCGGUCGAUACUGCCGGACUAGAGUUCGGAAGAGGCGAGUGGAAUUCCCGGUGUAGCGGUGAAAUGCGCAGAUAUCGGGAGGAACACCGAUGGCGAAGGCAGGUCUCUGGGCCACUACUGACGCUGAGAAGCGAAAGCGUGGGGAGCGAACAGG
rnacentral:rRNA from 1 species